rnacentral:rRNA from 1 species
UACGGAGGGUGCGAGCGUUAAUCGGAAUUACUGGGCGUAAAGGGCACGCAGGCGGUUUUUUAAGUGAGAUGUGAAAUCCCCGGGCUCAACCUGGGAACAGCAUCUCAGACUGGCAAGCUAGAGUCCUGUAGGGGGGGGUAGAAUUCCACGUGUAGCGGUGAAAUGCGUAGAGAUCUGGAGGAAUACCGGAGGCGAAGGCAGCCCCUUGGAAGUAGACUGACGCUCAGGUGCGAAAGCGUGGGGAGCAAACAGG